UGCGUAGGCGGAAUGAUAAGUUAGUGGUGAAAGCCCCCGGCUCAACCGGGGAACUGCCAUUAAUACUGUCAUUCUUGAGUAUAGUUGAAGUGGGCGGAAUGUAUCAUGUAGCGGUGAAAUGCUUAGAUAUGAUACAGAACACCGAUAGCGUAGGCAGCUUGCUAAACUAUAACUGACGCUCAGGCACGGAAGCGUGGGGAGCAAACAGGAUUAGAUACCCUGGUAGUCC
rnacentral:rRNA from 1 species